UUUAUGUAAGAUAUGGUGAGAUAUGAAGAAACAGUUAGCUUUCCCUGAAUCCCAUGAAGACAAUGACCCAACAUCACCACCAUCAUCAUCAUUAAUCAUUCAGCAUCAUCAUCGUCAUCUCUUUUUGUUUGUCCCUUCUUUGAACCACCACUUGCUAAUAGCUAGUUCCUAGUUGCAACAUCCACAUACUUAAUUCACCUUUUUCUAUAAGUUACAGUCCCCACUUAUAGUUUCUAUUGGGUUGAGAAGAUUUCGAAAGGAGAGCUAGCUAGGGUUUUCAGACAGCUCCUAAAUCUGAGUGUGAAACAUCAAGAUCCAUUUCGUCCUUUGUCUCUCUCUUGGUAGCCUCUUCUUGACAAGACCCAUCAGUGGUCUUACUUGUACAGUAAAGCGGUUCUUUCUGUGAAGUUUCAUAAAGAACACUCACCAUAUCCAAACCUUGUAAGUUAAGUUCAUUCAUAUACACUUACUACAUUAGUUGACAUUCUAAUUCAUUGCUGAUGCAUUUAUAAGUAAGUACAUGCAAUUAAUAACCUUUCAAACUAAAUGUUCAAAUAUAUAAGUACAUAGGAAGUUGUCUUGGUCACAUUUUUGUCUAGUUGUCGAUGGCCCAUUUAAAGCAAUAAGUGCAUGUGUUUGAAACUAACUCAUGCCUAUGUAUUCUUCUGUAGAACAACUUGCUUUUCAUAAGUGUGGCCCUUCAUUGUUUCAAAAUUAUAGAUAAAUAUAUGAAUCGAGAUUAAAAUAGAUAGAUAUAGAAGGAGAUUCUUUCAGUCCAGUCAUGGAUAGAAAAAGAAGAGGGUAGAAAUAUCUGCCGACUCAUCCAUCCAAACACUCGUGGUAGAGAAACGAUCAAUUUUAAACCGCAGUGACUGUAUGAAUGAUGCGGGAGAUAUUUUUGAUCCUUCUUUAUCUGUGUUUGGACUGAAGGGAGCUCCUUCUUUUUCUACAAUUUUUUCAUUUUUUUCUCAUUACCUGUUUAUAUAUCAGUAUAUAUAUUGCAUCUCGAUUCUAGACAUGAUUCGACUUCAAAUCGAAUUGAACUGUACUCGUUGAGCCAUAUAUGGUUUAGGAUUGCGUCAUGUCCACGUGAAUCUACCCACUAACUCACUAGCUAGGGUUGCAUUAAAGGUAUAGUCAGAUUUUAAACUAAUGCUUGUUUUUGGGGGGAUAUUAAUUAUGUUAAGCUUUCUUUGAAUGAUAUAUAUGUACAGUAUAUUACAUUCUAAUGAAAAUCUUCGGUUACGACUAUGGAUACAUGACGAUGGUCUUUCUUAAAUACUAAUUCAUACUUUGUGUUUUUGGACCAAUGUAGGAACAUGUAUGUAUCCAUUUUUCCUCCCUGUUUAUUUGUUGGGUUGAGAGAUAUUAUUAAUUAGUAAAUAUAGAGGUCGUGUUCUUGCCUUAUUCGUAUUUUGUAAAGUAAGACUUUAGUACUGUACUUGUAAUUUGUAUGUUACCGAUGAUUGGAAUGCAUGGUUUACAACUUUACAUC